UACGUAGGGUGCAAGCGUUAAUCGGAAUUACUGGGCGUAAAGCGUGCGCAGGCGGUUUUGUAAGCCUGUCGUGAAAUCCCCGGGCUCAACCUGGGAAUGGCGAUGGUGACUGCAAGGCUAGAGUUUGGCAGAGGGGGGUAGAAUUCCACGUGUAGCAGUGAAAUGCGUAGAUAUGUGGAGGAACACCGAUGGCGAAGGCAGCCCCCUGGGUCAAAACUGACGCUCAUGCACGAAAGCGUGGGGAGCAAACAGG
rnacentral:rRNA from 1 species